UGUCUUUGGAGACAUUUAGAAGGAGGAUACCCAAGACGAUGGAGCAGUCUUUGUGUAAACUGUGGACCAGGCAGCUGAAGAGUUGCCAGGGGAUCAGGGGAUCACCAAAAUCUGUGCAAGUCCUCCAGAUGAACAAGCCCACCCUCUGAAGUGUUUAAUCCAGGCUUGAUACAUCAAGAAAACUUCAGAGGAGUUAUUAUUGCCUCACACUAAUGAACUUGCAGGAAUUAAAUACUGUAAGUUCUAAAAUUAUGAACCAGUUCCAACAUUAUUUGAGGCCAAUGCACAUAAACAAACAUAAACAUGAGUCUCAUUUUCUUACAAAAGCAAAAGGAAAAACAAAACAAAACAAAACAAAACUUGUCAAGGUCAAAUUAUUUCCACGUACAAUUUAAAGGCAGGGGAGAGUAAGCAAGAGGAGCAGAUGGACAUCAAGGACACCCCCUUGCUAUGUUGCUAGAGUGAGAAAACCCACCACUUAUACAAUUGUUUCCUUCUUCUUCAGCCAUACAGUGGCCUUUUCCUGAUUCAGUGUAUCUUUCUGAGCAUGGGUGGCCAAAGCUGAAUGCCACUUGAAAAAAACAGUUCCCUCAUACUGGUGAUUCCAGCAUGAGGUGAGAGGUUCCCACUGUAGUUUGUGAAGAAUUUUCACAGCAUGAAUUCUCAGCAAAUUCAGGUACCUUUCCAAGGUGUCUACUUAUGCAAAGCUCAGUCACCCAAGGGGAAACUUGUCCUAAGUAAAUAACCUGUGUGGAUCAAUGCAAAAAUGCCCACCUGAAGUGACAAAAGGUUUGCUUUUUAGAUGGGGGUUAACCCCUGGACUGCUCAGAGUAGCAGCACACGGUGCCUGGCACUCCUUGGUGCCACGGUGUCCCUGUGUGCACGCAGAGCACCAAUGAAGCUGUGGGAAAUUCUGCUGCAGUGUUUGCAGCAUCUUGGGGAAGGCAACUUCUCAACAAGGUAAAUCGGUAUUUUGGCAGAUCUUUGCUGCACCAAGUGUUCCACCAGUGGAGAAUUCUGGAGAAGUGAUGAGGAAAUACAAGUGAUCUCCAAAGUGCUGCUGUUGAAAAGUUGAGUUGUUUAAGAUGUGAUUUUAAGAGGUCUUGGAUACCUUCUAGAAGUUGCUUCCUAAAGCAUCUGCAUGUCAGCACCCUACAUAUUUUAAACUGAGCAUGCAAAACCCCAGCAUGGAUGGGCACUCUUCAAUGUGGGGGCCUACGUGACUCCCUUUAGUCCCUUGGCAACACAAUAAUAGAAACAGGAACGUGGGAUUUCUUAUGUCUAUUGUGUCCAUUAGAACAAUACCACUGAGAGCAACUGAGACCAAAGGCCUGGCCUUCAAAAUAUAUGACUUGAGAAGAAAGCUGCAUUUUUUUGGUAAGGUCCAAAUGUAUUUCAUUCAGCUUUGCUGCUACUCUCAAAGUUUAGUUGUAAACAAGUCACACAUCUGGGUAGCACUGCCUGUAACUGUCUUCAUCCUCAACAAGAAUUACUGGCUUCACAAUGUUCUGUGUGUGCAGAAAACAGCUUGUAAGAGGUAACCUGAGCAAACUCUUAUAGCUGAAGAGCUUAAAUAUCUUUAAUGACCAGCCUACAAAGUGGCCACGGUCUUUAACUUUAUGGAUAUAACCCUGAAGUCUUGAAAUUCUGCAUUUUAGCCCUGCAGAGUAGGGCUCUGAUUCUGACUGCUCCCUAUCAAAUUUCCAUGCUGACUCUGCCCAGACAGGUCACCUGUCCAGAGCAAUGAUGUACUAACUGCUUCUGUGGGAGGUGAGUGUCAGCUUGAGCAGAACUCAGUACAGCUAUAAAGGGUUUUGUAGCUACACAGCAGUAUAACUUUGAAAACCAUUUGUGUACAUCAUAAAUAAAAUGAAGUAAGCUGUCAGGAUUAUCAUUACUCAGUACCAAGUGACAAAAUAAUGUUGCACCUGAGUAACUUCUGUUGAAGUGACAGAUUGUUUUCUCACUGCAUGGUUGGCAUAUCCUAGAGACUUUAAAUUCAGACUGUGGAGGCUGAAUUUAUUUGAAUUAAUAUUUUAAAUGUUCUAUGCUCCUGAUUCCAGCCUCAGUUCCCAAAAUCAUGACAGAAAAACCACUGGAAAAAUUCCCACUGAAUUCCAGUAUGGGCAGGGAUCCACAGAAAGGGAUAGGGAACUUGGAAACUCUCAAUUUGUGCACAGCUGAUACAAAGCCAGGGUUUAGAGUUCAUGGCUGCUGACAGGAUAAGGGGACAUGACCUGUUCACUCUGAGAGACUGAAGACACCUGGAGAAGGCUGCAAUUUGGAGGAGCUGACAGACUUCCCUGGUUGUCUGCCUUUCUUGUCUUGGAAUGGCCAUUCCAAAAAGCCUUUACAAGCAUUUCAGCAUGGUGGUGAGGUGGAAGAAUAAAAUAAGAGUGCUGCUGCUGCAAAGCUGCUGUUCUCCUCUGCUCCUAGAUUGUUCCUCCUCCCAGCCAAACCCACGGCUUGCCAGCUCAUUUGUGGCUGUUUGCCACAAGCUCCCAGUUCCCUUUACAUUGCCUGGCACCUCCUUGGCCUCCCAAGCAGAAACAGGAGGGAUCACAGAAGAGCCCCUUAUGAACCCCCUGUCUUCAGGCAGAGACACAACUGCCCCCACGGUGUGAGUAACAGCAGGAUGUGACAUCUCCUGGGACCUCUCUGCAGGCUCUGAGAGCUCAGAAAGGCACAGACACAAAGUGCAUUCCUUGGCAUUCCCACACCUCUCUCCUAGCUGGGUGUCCCUGAUGGCCUCCUUCAUAAAUCCUUAAUGAAAGAUACUUCUGAAUAAAUACCUUCUCUG